rnacentral:rRNA from 1 species
UCUCGGCUCUCGUAUCGAUGAAGAACGUAGCGAAAUGCGAUACUUGGUGUGAAUUGCAGAAUCCCGUGAACCAUCGAGUCUUUGAACGCAAGUUGCGCCCGAAGCCUUCAGGCUAAGGGCACGUCUGCCUGGGCGUCACACAU